rnacentral:rRNA from 1 species
CUACGGGACGCACCAGUGAGGAAUAUUGGUCAAUGGGCGCAAGCCUGAACCAGCCAAGUAGCGUGAAGGAUGACUGCCCUCUGGGUUGUAAACUUCUUUUAUAGGGGAAUAAAGUGCGCCACGUGUGGCGUUUUGUAUGUACCCUACGAAUAAGGACCGGCUAACUCCGUGCCAGCAGCCGCGGUAAUACGGAGGGUCCGAGCGUUAUCCGGAUUUAUUGGGUUUAAAGGGUGCGCAGGCGGGAUGAUAAGUCAGUUGUGAAAGUUGGACGCUCAACGUUCAAAUUGCAAUUGAAACUGUCACUCUUGAGUGCAGUGGAGGUAAGUGGAAUUCGUGGUGUAGCGGUGAAAUGCUUAGAUAUCACGAAGAACUCCGAUUGCGAAGGCAACUUGCUAUACUGCAACUGACGCUCAUGCACGAAGGUGUGGGUAUCAAACAGGAUUAGAUACCCGCGUAGUC